rnacentral:rRNA from 1 species
CGUUUAUUUGAUAGUACCUUACUACAUGGAUACCUGUGGUAAUUCUAGAGCUAAUACAUGCUGAAAACCUCGACUUCGGAAGGGGUGUAUUUAUUAGAUAAAAAACCAAUGCCCUUCGGGGCUCCUUGGUGAAUCAUAAUAACUUAACGAAUCGCAUGGCCUUGCGCCGGCGAUGGUUCAUUCAAAUUUCUGCCCUAUCAACUUUCGAUGGUAGGAUAGUGGCCUACCAUGGUGGCAACGGGUAACGGGGAAUUAGGGUUCGAUUCCGGAGAGGGAGCCUGAGAAACGGCUACCACAUCCAAGGAAGGCAGCAGGCGCGCAAAUUACCCAAUCCCGACACGGGGAGGUAGUGACAAUAAAUACUGAUACGGGGCUCUUUUGGGUCUCGUAAUUGGAAUGAGUACAAUCUAAAUCCCUUAACGAGGAACAAUUGGAGGGCAAGUCUGGUGCCAGCAGCCGCGGUAAUUCCAGCUCCAAUAGCGUAUAUUAAAGUUGUUGCAGUUAAAAAGCUCGUAGUUGAACCUUGGGUCUGGCUGGCCGGUCCGCCUCACCGCGAGUACUGGUCCGGCUGGACCUUUCCUUCUGGGGAAUCUCAUGGCCUUCACUGGCUGUGGGGGGAACCAGGACUUUUACUGUGAAAAAAAUUAGAGUGUUCAAAGCAGGCCUUUGCUCGAAUACAUUAGCAUGGAAUAAUAGAAUAGGACGUGCGGUUCUAUUUUGUUGGUUUCUAAGGACCGCCGUA